UACAAUGUGGCAUAAUGGUUGGAGUGCUGGACUAAGACUCUGGGGACCAGGGUUCGAAUCUCAGCCCAGUCUUGAAA